UACGUAGGGUGCGAGCGUUGUCCGGAAUUAUUGGGCGUAAAGGGCUCGUAGGCGGUCUGUUGCGUCAGGAGUGAAAACCCGGGGCUCAACUCCGGGCUUGCAUUCGAUACGGGCAGGCUAGAGUUCGGUAGGGGAGUCUGGAAUUCCUGGUGUAGCGGUGAAAUGCGCAGAUAUCGGGAAGAACACCCGUGGCGAAGGCGGUUCUCUGGGACGGUACUGACGCUGAGACGCGAAAGCGUGGGGAGCGAACAGG
rnacentral:rRNA from 1 species